rnacentral:rRNA from 1 species
GAUGAACGCUAGCGGCAGGCCUAACACAUGCAAGUCGAGGGGCAUCAUGGCGUAGCAAUACGCUGAUGGCGACCGGCGCACGGGUGCGUAACGCGUAUGGAACCUACCCACCGCAGGGGGAUAACCCGCCGAAAGGCGGACUAAUACCCCAUGGUUCCCCGACCCUGCCUGGGGUUGGGGGUAAAGCCUACGGGCGGCGGUGGAUGGCCCUGCGUGCCAUUAGCUGGCUGGUGGGGUAACGGCCCACCAGGGCGACGAUGGCUAGGGGGUCUGAGAGGACGAUCCCCCACACUGGUACUGAGACACGGACCAGACUCCUACGGGAGGCAGCAGUGAGGAAUAUUGGUCAAUGGGCGGAAGCCUGAACCAGCCAUGCCGCGUGCAGGAUGACGGCCCUACGGGUUGUAAACUGCUUUUCCCGGGGCGAAUAACCCCUCGCGAGGGGGAUGCCGGUACGGGGAUAAGGAGUCGGCUACGUCCGUGCCAGCACGCCGCGGUAAACGUAGCGUG